rnacentral:lncRNA from 1 species
UAUCACUAGCACACGACUUAAGGUUUGCAACCUAUCGUGUUGACGUAAUUCUUAUUUCUGUACCUACUUCAAAUAAGUUGAAUUUGCAUGUGAGUUAUCAGAGUUCAACUUGGAAGCAUUGGUGGGCCUUGUGCUACCAAGGUGACAAGAAACUAAGAUUGAACAAGUUUAAUCCAUCUAAGGCUGAAUUUGUCACUAACCUUAUCUUGUGAUUAUGGUUUUGACAAAUUCACAUCGAUAGGAACUCAUACACUAUAAAAUCUAAGUGUCAUAAGGUCUCUCUCCAAUUCAUGAAAAUGAUGGUGAGGAAACGCUUUCACUAAGUAGAUUUUACGUAGAUAUCAAUUGUGUUAUUUGCAUUUUCAAAAGUCGUUAGUGGAGCGUGUGUGGUUAACCGGCACACUAACAUGGACUUGUGAGAAAUGGCAAAUGCCUAAGCAAUUGAGACUAUGAUUAUGUCAUCCCUUUUCAUAGUCCUGAAUAUUGUUUAGACACACAUGUGAGCUAUCUAAGAAAGGGUGUAUGAAUCUAAAUUUCAGAANUACUUGCUUUUGAUUUGUUUCUAGCCUCUAAUGAUCAUACACUAAGUCCUUAGUUAGAUGCCUAACACGGAAAUGGGACUAGGUGGCCUUUAGGCUUGAUUUUGGAGUUUACUCCCCAAGAACGUUCUUGGGCGGUAAACUCCCGGAUCUUGUGUUUUGGACAUGUAAACAAUGUUAUAAAGCAUAUAACAAGUAUUAAAACACAUUUAGGGAAGUAGACUCACAAUCUGGGAUGAAAACCCGAAGAUCCGUGAGAGAGUAUUUGGCUUUUCUCUAAAUGGAAAUCAAAUAAUGAACCAAUUUGGUUCAGAAUUCUAUUUAUAGUCCAGAGAUUUUUGGCAGAAAAUAUUUCUAUUCUCGGAAUGGAUUCUAAUGACCUAGAGUAAUGGAAUUACAGUGUUGCACAAAAUCCUAGUGCACCCACUCUCCUAAUAACUCCUUAGGUGUAAAACCCUAAAACUGCCAAACUUAUUCCAAAAGUUUGAAUUUUCACUGAAACUGCUCUACUUCCAUUGGAUUGAUGUGGUUUGAUUUGAAUGGAAAAUUUCGGGUUGUCACAGUUAAGGGGUAUGAACUCACCUGCAGUAUGUGACUGGAAUUGAACGGGCUGUUAUCGUACGGAAGGAUCAGACAAGUGCUUGGUGUCAAGUGAAGACUUAGACACACACAAUGAUCCUAAUUACAUAUGAAACAUAUGUAUAUAAAUAAUUAGUGAUUAUAACACUAAUUAUACAAGUAAUAACAUUUAAGCGCGAGGACAACACUUUUGGUCAAGUGCUAGGAGGCUAAUGGGUUGCAACAAAGAAGUGCAAUGCCCCUAAUGAAAGUUUAAGGUCAAAAGACCAUAUUCAUUAGAGUUUACGGCCCAGGGGAGUAAGCUCCUGGCCGUAAACUCUCAAACAAGUCAUGAAAUGGAGUUUAAAAGUACUACAACCUUAGAGGGGAAUUGUUUCAAGGCUAUACAAGUGUUUGGGCACCACAUUGACUCCUUUGGGGAGUUUACGGCCCAAAGACCCUUCUCCCUUGGAGUUUACGGCCGUAAACUCCCUUGGGAGGGUUCUUAUUGUCCUUUCAAGUCUCUAACAUUUCUAGGAACAAGUCUAGGCUUCAAUACUUGGAUCAAGGGAGGUUUAUGGCAUUAAAUGGAACCAUUUGAUGGAGUUUACGGCCAUAGAACUCUUUGGGCCGUAAACUCCCUCACACAUGAGGUUCUAAGAAUUUUAACUAGCCCAAAACUCAUCUAGGUACUUGCCCUAAAAGUCUCUUGGCCUAAGGAAGUGUCUAGGGUGUCCUUUGACCCCUUUAAAGGAGUUUACGGCCCAAGAAAUACUCUUGGCCGUAAACUCUUCAACACUUGAGCUUUUCAUGAUUUUUCUAGGUCCUAAACACAUUAAGGUACUAGCCAAAAAUGAAGACUAAGCCUUAGGAAGAGUUUGAAGUGGUUUUGGCACUUAAUCUUGGAGUUUACGGCCUAAGGAGCAUCUUGGCCGUAAACUCCCUUCCAAAGUUGGUUUCUAAUUGUUUUGUGGGUCUAAAUCAUGAGUUUAAGGCUUCUAGGUUCUUGUUCUAAGGCUAAAGGAACACUAGGCACUCAUUUGUGCCCUUUACUUGGAGUUUACGGCCCAAGAGGUUGUUCCUUGGCCGUAAACUCCUCAAACUACUUGCUUUUGAUUUGUUUCUAGCCUCUAAUGAUCAUACACUAAGUCCUUAGUUAGAUGCCUAACACGGAAAUGGGACUAGGUGGCCUUUAGGCUUGAUUUUGGAGUUUACUCCCCAAGAACGUUCUUGGGCGGUAAACUCCCGGAUCUUGUGUUUUGGACAUGUAAACAAUGUUAUAAAGCAUAUAACAAGUAUUAAAACACAUUUAGGGAAGUAGACUCACAAUCUGGGAUGAAAACCCGAAGAUCCGUGAGAGAGUAUUUGGCUUUUCUCUAAAUGGAAAUCAAAUAAUGAACCAAUUUGGUUCAGAAUUCUAUUUAUAGUCCAGAGAUUUUUGGCAGAAAAUAUUUCUAUUCUCGGAAUGGAUUCUAAUGACCUAGAGUAAUGGAAUUACAGUGUUGCACAAAAUCCUAGUGCACCCACUCUCCUAAUAACUCCUUAGGUGUAAAACCCUAAAACUGCCAAACUUAUUCCAAAAGUUUGAAUUUUCACUGAAACUGCUCUACUUCCAUUGGAUUGAUGUGGUUUGAUUUGAAUGGAAAAUUUCGGGUUGUCACAGUUAAGGGGUAUGAACUCACCUGCAGUAUGUGACUGGAAUUGAACGGGCUGUUAUCGUACGGAAGGAUCAGACAAGUGCUUGGUGUCAAGUGAAGACUUAGACACACACAAUGAUCCUAAUUACAUAUGAAACAUAUGUAUAUAAAUAAUUAGUGAUUAUAACACUAAUUAUACAAGUAAUAACAUUUAAGCGCGAGGACAACACUUUUGGUCAAGUGCUAGGAGGCUAAUGGGUUGCAACAAAGAAGUGCAAUGCCCCUAAUGAAAGUUUAAGGUCAAAAGACCAUAUUCAUUAGAGUUUACGGCCCAGGGGAGUAAGCUCCUGGCCGUAAACUCUCAAACAAGUCAUGAAAUGGAGUUUAAAAGUACUACAACCUUAGAGGGGAAUUGUUUCAAGGCUAUACAAGUGUUUGGGCACCACAUUGACUCCUUUGGGGAGUUUACGGCCCAAAGACCCUUCUCCCUUGGAGUUUACGGCCGUAAACUCCCUUGGGAGGGUUCUUAUUGUCCUUUCAAGUCUCUAACAUUUCUAGGAACAAGUCUAGGCUUCAAUACUUGGAUCAAGGGAGGUUUAUGGCAUUAAAUGGAACCAUUUGAUGGAGUUUACGGCCAUAGAACUCUUUGGGCCGUAAACUCCCUCACACAUGAGGUUCUAAGAAUUUUAACUAGCCCAAAACUCAUCUAGGUACUUGCCCUAAAAGUCUCUUGGCCUAAGGAAGUGUCUAGGGUGUCCUUUGACCCCUUUAAAGGAGUUUACGGCCCAAGAAAUACUCUUGGCCGUAAACUCUUCAACACUUGAGCUUUUCAUGAUUUUUCUAGGUCCUAAACACAUUAAGGUACUAGCCAAAAAUGAAGACUAAGCCUUAGGAAGAGUUUGAAGUGGUUUUGGCACUUAAUCUUGGAGUUUACGGCCUAAGGAGCAUCUUGGCCGUAAACUCCCUUCCAAAGUUGGUUUCUAAUUGUUUUGUGGGUCUAAAUCAUGAGUUUAAGGCUUCUAGGUUCUUGUUCUAAGGCUAAAGGAACACUAGGCACUCAUUUGUGCCCUUUACUUGGAGUUUACGGCCCAAGAGGUUGUUCCUUGGCCGUAAACUCCUCAAACUACUUGCUUUUGAUUUGUUUCUAGCCUCUAAUGAUCAUACACUAAGUCCUUAGUUAGAUGCCUAACACGGAAAUGGGACUAGGUGGCCUUUAGGCUUGAUUUUGGAGUUUACUCCCCAAGAACGUUCUUGGGCGGUAAACUCCCGGAUCUUGUGUUUUGGACAUGUAAACAAUGUUAUAAAGCAUAUAACAAGUAUUAAAACACAUUUAGGGAAGUAGACUCACAAUCUGGGAUGAAAACCCGAAGAUCCGUGAGAGAGUAUUUGGCUUUUCUCUAAAUGGAAAUCAAAUAAUGAACCAAUUUGGUUCAGAAUUCUAUUUAUAGUCCAGAGAUUUUUGGCAGAAAAUAUUUCUAUUCUCGGAAUGGAUUCUAAUGACCUAGAGUAAUGGAAUUACAGUGUUGCACAAAAUCCUAGUGCACCCACUCUCCUAAUAACUCCUUAGGUGUAAAACCCUAAAACUGCCAAACUUAUUCCAAAAGUUUGAAUUUUCACUGAAACUGCUCUACUUCCAUUGGAUUGAUGUGGUUUGAUUUGAAUGGAAAAUUUCGGGUUGUCACAGUUAAGGGGUAUGAACUCACCUGCAGUAUGUGACUGGAAUUGAACGGGCUGUUAUCGUACGGAAGGAUCAGACAAGUGCUUGGUGUCAAGUGAAGACUUAGACACACACAAUGAUCCUAAUUACAUAUGAAACAUAUGUAUAUAAAUAAUUAGUGAUUAUAACACUAAUUAUACAAGUAAUAACAUUUAAGCGCGAGGACAACACUUUUGGUCAAGUGCUAGGAGGCUAAUGGGUUGCAACAAAGAAGUGCAAUGCCCCUAAUGAAAGUUUAAGGUCAAAAGACCAUAUUCAUUAGAGUUUACGGCCCAGGGGAGUAAGCUCCUGGCCGUAAACUCUCAAACAAGUCAUGAAAUGGAGUUUAAAAGUACUACAACCUUAGAGGGGAAUUGUUUCAAGGCUAUACAAGUGUUUGGGCACCACAUUGACUCCUUUGGGGAGUUUACGGCCCAAAGACCCUUCUCCCUUGGAGUUUACGGCCGUAAACUCCCUUGGGAGGGUUCUUAUUGUCCUUUCAAGUCUCUAACAUUUCUAGGAACAAGUCUAGGCUUCAAUACUUGGAUCAAGGGAGGUUUAUGGCAUUAAAUGGAACCAUUUGAUGGAGUUUACGGCCAUAGAACUCUUUGGGCCGUAAACUCCCUCACACAUGAGGUUCUAAGAAUUUUAACUAGCCCAAAACUCAUCUAGGUACUUGCCCUAAAAGUCUCUUGGCCUAAGGAAGUGUCUAGGGUGUCCUUUGACCCCUUUAAAGGAGUUUACGGCCCAAGAAAUACUCUUGGCCGUAAACUCUUCAACACUUGAGCUUUUCAUGAUUUUUCUAGGUCCUAAACACAUUAAGGUACUAGCCAAAAAUGAAGACUAAGCCUUAGGAAGAGUUUGAAGUGGUUUUGGCACUUAAUCUUGGAGUUUACGGCCUAAGGAGCAUCUUGGCCGUAAACUCCCUUCCAAAGUUGGUUUCUAAUUGUUUUGUGGGUCUAAAUCAUGAGUUUAAGGCUUCUAGGUUCUUGUUCUAAGGCUAAAGGAACACUAGGCACUCAUUUGUGCCCUUUACUUGGAGUUUACGGCCCAAGAGGUUGUUCCUUGGCCGUAAACUCCUCAAACUACUUGCUUUUGAUUUGUUUCUAGCCUCUAAUGAUCAUACACUAAGUCCUUAGUUAGAUGCCUAACACGGAAAUGGGACUAGGUGGCCUUUAGGCUUGAUUUUGGAGUUUACUCCCCAAGAACGUUCUUGGGCGGUAAACUCCCGGAUCUUGUGUUUUGGACAUGUAAACAAUGUUAUAAAGCAUAUAACAAGUAUUAAAACACAUUUAGGGAAGUAGACUCACAAUCUGGGAUGAAAACCCGAAGAUCCGUGAGAGAGUAUUUGGCUUUUCUCUAAUUGGAAAUCAAAUAAUGAACCAAUUUGGUUCAGAAUUCUAUUUAUAGUCCAGAGAUUUUUGUUAGAAAAUAUUUCUAUUCUCGAAAUGGAUUCUAAUGACCUAGAGUAAUGGAUUUACAGUGUUGCACAAAAUCCUAGUGCAACCACUAUCCUAAUAACUCCUUAGGUGUAAAACCCUAAAACUGCCAAACUUAUUCCAAAAGUUUGAAUUCUCACUGAAACUGCUCUACUACUAUUGGAUUGAUGUGGUUUGAUUUGAAUGGAAAAUUUCGGGUUGUCACAUCAUCCCCCUGUUAAAGGGAAUUUCGUCCCGAAGUUAGAAUUUAGGCAAGGAAGUAUGCACGAAUGAUCGAGACGUGAGAAGGAAACUUCCUAAUCG